CACACUUACACAUAGGCUAUAAGCCAUACGUCAAUUUUUACACUUACAUAACACAAAUAUAAACUUUCAGUAUUCAUUCGAUCGCCAGAUGAUAUCAUUUAUUCUUCUAGAGCGAUUACUCAGUAAUACUUAUGUGAAAAAAAUAUACCAACGAUUAUCAAAGUGCCUUUUGAUUAAUUAUUACUCAAGGUGGAUUCAUGAUAUACAGCCAUCUUGGGUUGUACAAUCGCAGUUUAAAAUGGGUCUAGUUCUUUGAUCAAAUCUUCAAAUUUGGAAACC
rnacentral:lncRNA from 1 species